UCCACAGUUUCUGGUUAGGUUAGAUUUUAAUAGUCACACUGGGUACAUCAUCUCCAAUGCACUUCCUUAUAAACUCACUCACCAAAUCAGCAUAUAAAAUCGAUGUUACUCUCUGAGGCUGCCCGAACAUUUCCCAGUUCGGGUGAUCAAAACAAUCUUGAAUCGUGGAUUCCGAUUGGUCAGACCAGCGUUGACUAGCUCUAGUCACGGGUACAUCCUAUGUGAGUUUCCACUGACAUUGACCAAAAAGGGACACCGUCUUCCAGCUGAUGGCUAAACUCGAGUUACACUGCCUUAUGCACAAAUUCAUGCUGUUACUCCUAUGAACAGAGAAAGUGAAAUAUUCUGUUAUAUUAAAAAAAAGCCCAAGCCGCUAAUAAUAACAACGCAAGCCUAUAGAUACACUUUUCUACUCAUUCGUUACUGCUGCAAUGCUUGUUGUAGUGCUGAGUAGAAAUAGGAAGAAUUAGCAUUUUAUUCCUUAUAAAAGUGUUGACAGUAAUUAGUAAGAACAUAAACAGCAUAUCUUUGCUGUGUUCGUUGACAGUCUCUCUCUAGUCAUGGUUUAAAUGUUUUGAAAUCUCACAGUAUCAACUUUGCUGUAGCUUUCUUUUAUGCCUGCUAUGUUACUACAGACGCGGCCAUCUGAUUGGCCAGCGGUAAACCUAUAGCGCAAUUGAUUUGCUCUCUGAGCCCGCCGGAAAGGCAGAGUUUGUACCUUCAGACACAUGAAAUGGUUCAAAAUGGCAACAGUUCACCUACCCACCUCGCAAAUCGGGUGCACCUAGUCACCAGUUAGAUGUGUUUCAAAAGGCGGGCGAUUGUUGGUAGGCUGAUGGAUGCCACAUUGUCAAAGGUGUCAUCAUUCUCCUCAAUAGCCUGCUUUUUUUCAGACAACUGUAUGUCAUUCCUGGCCCUCACCAUUUCCACCACUGCGCACUCCUGCUCGUCUGUCAGCACACGGCCACAGCCACCACCAUGGGGUCUUCUGUCUAUUCUGAGGGUAGAACAGUGUGUACUGUCAAUAGAUCAUACUGUAAGAAUACUGUAACAUGUUUUGUUUCACUAUGUGAAAUCAAUUAGCAAUAAUGAGUAGUCAUUAUGUAUGGUUAUCAUGUACGAUACAUGUCAUUUAGAUGUUUAUACUUUACAAACAGACAUUUUAUUUCUGUAGUUCUCAAAAUCCAUAUAUAGUUGACAAAAUCUUAAAAUCUAUAGGGUACCAAACGGUUAAGUGGUUAACCAUUAAGCGCAGUUGGAUUAAGUGAUGGUCAACUGUAUUUCAGACCUGCCAACCCUGUCCCACCUUUAAGAGUACCAGACGCCGGCGGCAAAUUGGAGAUGUAACACGGGACGAAUUAGGGUUCUCUUUCUCCCGCAAACCGGCUACAUACACAAAGCUUAAGCCCGCCGCAAAGGGAAUCUGAGCACUGUUCGCUAGAAGAGUCCGGUGUUUCAGCCUAUGUAAAGGUGCCUAUUGUAUUUCUUUGCAGCGCAUACAUCAUUUCAGAUUUUCAAAAUGGAUAAAACCUCAAAUCUAGUGCAAAGGCAUUUUAGAAGCAUUGCCUCUCUAGCUAAUACCGGACACUCAUUCAUUCUUCAUCGCGCAGUCUUCUAAACUCCCGACUCCAUUUAAUGCCAAUAUGUUUUUUGGCCAUCCUCACUAACGACGCCUAUUUACCUAUUCCCUGCCUGACCUUUUGCCUAUCGGAUUUCCUGUCAUCAACCUCUUGCCUGAUCCUGGACUACGUUAUUAGCCUUUCCCUGCCUGUACUGUUACCUUUUUGGAGCCCCUGUGUAUGACCUUCUGCCUGCCCCUGGACCCAGCUACCUGCCUCUUUGUGGUCCUUUACAAUUAAACACAUCGUAUUCAUUACACAAAUGAGAAGAGGGUCAUAUUAAAAGUAUUGUGAGCAUUGCAUUGUGAAACGCAAUUACUUUAUAUGAAAGGUAUUUCUAGAUGAAACACUGAUUUAGGUUUGGUGAAAAGGUCACUGUAAGAUUGUUUUACUUAGUCAAUUGAAAAUGUUUUGAGGGGAAAAAACUGCCUUUUCGAUGAUCUGUUUUGAGUUGUGAAAUUUUAUCACACACUUGUGAAAAUAGUACGGAAGCGAUGAAGGAAAAAAAAUGCAUUUCACAUGAUCAACCUAUAGGAAUCUAAUGAAUGUUGAGUGUGAUCGUUUAAACCCGCCACUGUAAAUUUCUUUAUAGUGUUUGUAGGCAGAAUGUUAACUGUCAUAUAUGGAGCAAGGAAAAUCAAAUCGAAUGUGCUCACAAACUCGGGACUUUUCCUUUUGUGUUUGAAGGAUGUAUCCGUCUUGAAUGGAACAUUUGCAACAGAGCCAGCGGUCCUGUCACAAACUAAUCCAAAAUGGCCAGCUGGUGGCAAACUCUGCUAACGGAUGAGAAUUUAGACCACGCAACCUUGAUAUUCAUCGCAGUCAGCAAUAGUAAGAUAUGAUCAAUAAUGAUAAGUUAUACAAUUAUUCCAGAGGUCACAGAAAAAGAUCCAAUAGGAUUAUAGGAUAUUUGUUUUGUAUAGGCUUACACCAAACAUCUAAAGGCAUAGUCAAAUAAUAUUUUAUCUGCAAAUUAUGAGAUUGUCCCAAGGACUCCUUAGGUGCAGAAUGCCUAGGGUCUAGGCACUGGGACAUGUUUAUCAUGCAGAAUGGACUAUUAACACAAUUAUAUGUUGUUCAUUCUGUCUGCAAUGCUGAAUGUUCGCUGGAUUGCUUAGGCCCCUGAAGGUGAGUCUCUAGGUAACACACACAUGCACGCACGCACGCACGCACGCACACACACACACACGGAAAAACAGUGGGAUAGCUAGGACGUUUGGAGGUGAUUUGUGAUUUGCUCCUGUUGUAACUUAAUCUCGCCACUCUCCCUCCAGUCUGAAUGCCGCUUUGUUCUACAGCCUAGCUCCAUCACAAACACAUGAACAUAAGACUGACCAUACAUACAGAUAUGACAAUUCAGAAGUGACCACAAAACAGGACCAUACACCUUACAACACUGAAACAUAUUGACCAGGUGAUCAUAGCUAUGGAGACAACUAUAACAGAGUUAUUACCACACAGGUUUAACUGUACUGAAGUGUCCGUAACUGAACCACAGUGUCCUGCGGUCAUAAGAGUAAAUCACACGGCCCCACUACCAUACCAUGCGGAGGUUCUGACCUUGACCUCUGACAUGACAUCUAUGGCUCAUUAAACGUGUUGACGUGGUUAAGCUCUUUGUGUCCGUCAGUAUGUGUGUGUGUAUGUGUGUGAGGGAGAGAGAGAGACAGAGCGAGAGAGAGCAAGAGAAAGAGAAGUCUUGGAGUGGAAGUGUAGGUGGAACCAGAGAUUACCUUACAGUUUUUCCCCUCGAAAUCAACGGAGUACUCUAUUUAAAAAGGUCACCAUCUUCUACUAGCACCUUUGUGAGCAACAAUACAGAGAGCUUCCAAAGGCAGGUCAACAGAAACUGAGGCAUAAGCCAUCGGAGCAACUAGAGAUAAAAUAUUUUUAUCCACAGCAAGAGAACAGAGAAUUGACAAGAGCAGCAGUUCCCUUCCACAACCAGCAGAGAUCAG